UUAUGGUGCCUAUGAUUCUGAUGUCAUUGGACUCAUCUACUAUCAGAGUAUCACUCUCCUGAAAGCAGUGAGAAAUGUUAAUAGAACCAGUAUAUCUCUGUCCAACUGGUGGGAUCAAGUAACAAGCGAAAUCAUUUACUCGUCUUCCAAGGAGUGGCUGAAAUGUAAGGAGUGUUAUAAAGAAGGCAUUAAACUGAAGGCAUCCACUGAUGUGCAUCAGUAUUUAAAAUGAGAGGAAGAGGUGUCUCCAUGCUCAGUUUGUUGAAGGAUGUCCAACCUGGAAUGCUCUGAAUAGGAAAGACCAGCUGAAAGAAUGGUUUAGUCUUCAUCUCUCCUGGGGCUAAAGAUGAUGAGCUCAUCAAGUCUCCGUAACAAGUGUGGAGAAUAGCCAAGAGGAAGAAAGAAUAAGCUCUGCAGACCGAAGUGAUUUGCCCAAGGUCACCAAGGGAGACCCAGGGACAGCCAGGCACAGACUCCAGCCCUGCUAAUGGCGCCUCGUUUGUUCCAGGGCUGUGCUCAGUGGCUCCCACACCAGGGCCACAACUCACAUAAGGGCACAGCAGGUGCCAGUGUAACAAAAGUCCCAUUACCUCUGACAUUCACCUUCCUGUUUUGAAAGGCAUAAGAUUAGCCUUCUGUAAGCCAAAUACUGGAAAAAGUAUGGAAAUGACCAAGCUAGAUAAUGCUCUUUUCUCUUCCCUAACAGUCCCAACCUGUGAAGCAAUUCUCCAUUUUAUUCUGUGAUGUCAUCUGCCUUCUUUUUAACCUCCUCUAAGUGAAAGCCUUAAAAAAACCUAAACAAAGUCAUCUAAUUUUGUUUAAAAUAUACAAACCUUUGAGAGAUACAGCAGUAAAAACCAUCGAAUUUUCUGGUUAUGAUCAAAACUGAAAAUUCCUUAAUCUGCUCAUGUUCAGUACCUGAUCAUUCAGCAUUAUGUUCAAAGCCAAGACACUAUUUUGCUCCUCUCUGGCCAUUACUGAAGUAAAUUAUUUCUAUAAGAGGAAGUUUUCUUCUGGGCAUAGAAAUGUGUUUAGUCUCUUGAGUAGCAGUUUGUACAUCUGCAAACAAAUACGGAUACCAAAUUCAUAUUUUUUCCCUUUUAUAUCCACUUUGCAUUCAUCUUUGGAAAUGCUUCUCCUUUCCAUGUAAGCCAUUUUACACAGGUCUGUGGAGACCUUAAUUUAAGUAAGUUAGGCCAAGGCUAGGAAGCUGCCCUAAUAAGAUCCUAAAGAAUCAGGUCCUAAUUUGCUAAUGGCUGUUUUUUUUCUUGAUUUCAUUAUUUUAUAUUACCCUCCUUAGGACAGGUGAAUCUGCAGAGAGUGGAAGUCUGAACAAGAUCUGGACCAGCAUCCAAAAAUCAGAUGCUUGUCCAAAUUAUUCAGACCUCAGAAGUAUGUAAAACUGAGUGGAAUGGGGAUGAGAGCUUAUUUUCUCUCAAAAUUUCUCAUUUCACAAUUGGCCAACACAGAAGAAAGAAUGGGGAUUUUUGCUGCAUAUUGGCACUUUUAGUCUCAGCUUGACUGAGCAAUGAUCUCUCUCCAGCCCUGCCCUGAUAAGUGCACAAUUAAGAACCUCAAAAAACGUUUUUGAUUCUGAAAGUAGCUGUAUCCUUCCCAUGUCUCUGCUUGUUACAAAGAACUUGGUAUUGUGGCUUAAGAGGGAAGAGUCUAAUUUUACCAAAGUCAGUAGAGUAACAUAUUAUUCCACUGUUUUGUAGUAGGUCUUUUAGUAGUUUAACUGUUUCAAAGUGCUUGAUCUAUUUGUUCUUGCCACAGAGGUUCUUAUUACAGCUUUCUAUGCUAUUUGGUUUUUUUCCACAUAGGGUAAUCAACCCUUAAAAUAUCUAGACAGGUGACUAAACAGCAAAAUUCAUCUGAGACACUAACACAGAAAUUAGUGAAAAUCUGGUUUUGAGACUUAAUAUUACCAACUUCUCAAAUUCUUUCCAGUGGAAGUUUUCAAUGUGCAAACCCCAGAGGAUUAUACCUGACAAAUGUAUAUUCUUCUGCAAGUAGCCAUGGGAGGUGACAAAAGUGAGGAUUAUCAUGAUAAAAGGCAUGUUUUGGUAUUUCAUUAUUCACUUACUGUGGUGUAUAUGUGGAAAAAGUGGAGCAAACAGGAAGAGUCUGCUAAGGGGAAGGGGGUUUUUCCCCACAAAAUGCAUAUCUAUCAAUAAUAAAUGCCUACAGUGGGUCCACCAAAAAUAGGUCUCUCUGAAGGAGAGAGGAGAAACAGCUCUACAAAAUCAUUCAAAGGCAGGUUAGACAGUUGUAUUCUGUUUUAUAGUUCUCUCUGUAAGUUUAUUUUACAUGGAUAUAGCCCUAUCUAUUACAUGAGCAAAGUCUAAACAGCUCUUCCAUUGAUAGAUUAGGAGGAAUUUAGCCAAAUCAUUCCUCCAUAAAUGCUUUCUAUGUAGUCAUUCAAGAGGCUCUUCAGAUUCAUUUCAAAUUCAUUGGAAUAAUGAGUCUGAAGGCCUAAAUUCAUUCACUGAAUCAGCACCUGAAAACUCUUGUCUGCUAUCCCUCUUCUGAGCAAACAGUCUCAGCCUCAACACCCUUGUUCUGGAUUCUUUUUUGCAGUUUGAAUGGUUUGUUACAGCAAUAAACAGGGAGUGCUUUGGAUUUCUGAUUAAUUGAGGUUGCAUUUGUUGCACAUAAUCUUUUUUAUAACACUUAUAUUUGUUAAUGAGUACAGCGGAGGAAUCUGUCAAAAUUAGUUAUGCAUUGAUGUUAAAUUCAAGUUUAGAAUAAGUGUGAAUUGUGUAGCCUGGUUAAAUUAUGAAUUGACAUUUAUCAUCUGCCAUCCUAUCUCUUACAUGGAACAGAAGAGAUUAAGUAGAUCCAUACUUUUAGACAAGAUUAAGCAAUGUUUUUCUGUUAAUCAAGUACCUUAUGACCACCUUUUAAUAAAAAUCUUUGCUUUGAUCAGGAUACAGAGCAGCAAGCAGACUGCAGCUACCAGAGGAAAUAUGACCCUCAUCAAAGAAAACGAGUGAGCAAACAAAAACACCAAGAGAAGAAGGGGUGUGUAUAUUUAAGGCCUCUAGUGGGUUAAGUACCUUUUCAGCAAUUUACAGUAUGGCCUAGAUGGCCCUCAAAUGAGCUACUGAAAUGAUGGCAAUCCAUAAAUCUUGAAACAUAUUUCUAAGGAGAUUAGAAAGUGUGGUUGUAGAGACUUGUAUAAUUCAGCAGGAGUCUGGGCCUGUUCAAAGGGACUAAACCAGAGCAUUGCUUAGACAUGGAAACUCUGCAAGUGAUUGUAAAAGCAGAAAGUCUUAGAAACAAAAUAUGUCUUUUAAAGCAAUAUAUGAACUGAAAAUCUGGGUAAAUAAGCCCAUUACAGGCAUUUUUUUUAAAGUUUCAUGCUUUCACAAGAGGUUGGACUAGAUGACCUCCUGAGAUUUUUUUCAAUUUAAAUUUCUCAAUGAUUUUGUGAAAUGCAUUUGGCCCCUUGGCAUGGAAAGAUAAAUACUGCAUCAAUAUUUAUAGCUCGGCAUUGUAAAUUUUCUCUAAAAUCACAUAUCCAAAUUAUAAUUUGAAGAGCUGAUAAUCAAAAGUCCUCCAUCUUCAGUAUGAGAUACACCUAAUGCAUAUUUUCUCACUUCUUCCAUAAGCUAUAGAUAAUAUUCUGCUGUCACCUCUCUGCUAUGAUACCACUUUUUAACCCCCUCAUAUUUAUGUUGGUUUUCCUGCUUAAUGUUUUGUAAGCCUCACAGCAAUGUUACAUUUAUUUAGUUUAUUUUACUUCUGCUGUCUCUGGAUUAUCAAUAGUGUUAUUAUUAUUACACAUUUCUGAUCAUAGAUAGUAUUCUGCUUCCUUCAGCCUUUUAAAGUUGCAAGGAAGUGUUUCAUCUGCAGGCAUGAAGGAGCAAAAACAAAUCUUCUGUCAUUAAGGUCAAUGAAACUACGUUUGUUUUCAUCUCCCUGACUGAAUGGAAUCCCAAUUCUUUGAUGACAAUUUGCUUUGAUGACUUGUGCUACCAAGUAAAAUGAUUCUGUCAUUUCACUGUCUUAUUUCCAUAAUAUUACUGUUUUGCUAGGAAAAGUAAAGUCUCUUACCUUUCUGCUGUUCUUGAAAAUAAUACUUUGGUUUUCGCAAUGUAUUUCCAGAGGUCUCUCAACUGUUAUUUGUCAUUAAUUUUGUGUUUAGUACGCAUAAAUAAUCAAGUUUACCUUAUUCAGGGUAAUUUAACUUACCAUUCAAUCCUGUGUUUUUAGGGAAGGACAAUCUGCCUCUUUUAUUCAUGCAUAUAGUCUGUCCCUCUCUUUGAGGCAUUACAGACUCUGCCUUAUUGGCCAGAUUUUUCUCCUGCUUAAUACACUGAAUAGACCAUCCAAUCCCUCUCUUUCAAAACAUUUCUAGAUGGUGAUUUAGAGAGACAUUCUAGCUUGUUACAAAUUAACCAGCAAAUGUACCUAUCCAUUACAAUUACUGACUUUAUGGCAUUGCAAAAUUUCUAAGGGGGCCUGAAAAUACUUUUGUUAUCUCCAUUUCCCUCCCAGCUAUGCCAGAUUCUAUGCACAGAUCAUGUUCUCUCUGUUUUUCAGUUCUGCAUAUAUAGUCAUGCAGAUAAUGAGUUCAGGACAGGAUCUGCUCGGUGCAUUUUAUGCAGAAGACAUUCAGUGAAGUCAGUGGGAUCAGUCACUGGGGGGUCCCCUUGUCCUACAUGCAGUUUUGAACCAUUUACUCCUGACCCCUUUUUAAGUUUUAUUCUGUAUAUUUAAGGAAAACCUUUGAAAAAUUAUGUUCUCUGUAUUCUUUCCAGGAAGGCUGACUUCCUUGUCUAUUUGGGAUGCAGAGAAGGGCAGGCAGGAAAUGAUGAAGCUUUGUAAUCAUAAGGGAACUUGAUAAUUGCUUCCAGCAAUAGAUUGGGUCAAGAACAAAAGUCAUAAGACAAUAUUGGGGUUCUUUGGGUAUGUUUGCUGUGUUUGUUAUGUAGUUUAAAGAUAACUGAGCUAUAUUUAACCCAGAUAACUUAAGUACCUUCAGUACUCUAACCUGACAGCACAGAGCUCAGCUGUGCUGAUUAGAUGUACAUAAAAAGAAUGGCAGUGUCAGGUCUCUGCAGUGGAUGAUCCUAUCCAGCAAUAACAGAUCACAUGAAUCAUUUUACUGAUAUCUACCUUGGAUUUUAUGGUUAAAUUAACUAGGAUAAAUGCAAUAUACUGAAUCUCUGAAGGUCUGACAUUUUUUCUUAUGUACAAUCUGAAGCAGUUGAAAAGUCCUUAUAUUCACAAAACUGUUUAUGUUUUAUAAUUCAACUGGACCGGUGUAGAUUGAUGUUGGCUUUUCCUCUGUUAUAUUCUUCAGACAGGAGAUUCAUGUCCUUCCCCGUACCAUCAAGUAUUUCAUGUUCCAAAUGGCACUUGAGGUCUGCUGUUCCAAUCUCUGCCUCUGCCUAGUAUAUAGGGCAAAAGAAAUAACAUGUAUUUUUUCAGAAUACAUGAAAAAAGAAAACAGCUGCUGUAACUGAUCUUCUUGUCUUAGCUCCUUGUUGCAAACAGAGCUGUUUAGCAGAAGUGACAGUGCCUAAAAUUCUAAUGCCAGCCUUCUUAAAAACUGAAUUGAAUUUCUGUCAAGUACUGUCACACUUGCUAAACAGCUGUGUAUAUGAGGGUGACCUUGAAUAUCCAGAUUUGAGUCUCUGCUUUCACUGUUUCACUUCUGCUUUGAUAGGAUUUCCCACGACCAGUUCUUCAGUGACAGUCCAGAUCAUACACUGUACAAAGUUGCAGGAGCAGCAGAACCAGCUGUGGAGAGGGGCCAGAGAGUACAGAGCUCUGCAGUCAGCUCUGGACCCUUGUCCCUCUUGGGGACUGGGUACAAAUGGGUAAGCAGCAUGAUUGUCUCUGCUUUGGCCUUGCCAAGCUGGUGUAAUUAUUGCUGGGAACUGUUAACCAGACAGUUUAAGUUCCAGUUUAAACUGAAUCGACAUUUGUAACCAAGUAGUAAAAAAAUGGCAAUUGACCAAUUCAGCUAGAGUUAGAUUGGUUACUUAACAUUCAAUUUUUCUCUUCCACUUAAAAUUUUUAACAAUGUAGGAGAUGCUGGGGGACUGGGACUGUGGUGAUGUUGAUCUGGAUUGGAGUUCUCAGCAGGUAAUAUAUUUUGUAUGGCUGAAUGUUUGUAGUAUCAAAAAUUUCCUUAAUGAUGUUUGUUUCCCUUCCACUAAUUCUGCUUGAGUUUCUGUUGCUGUAGAUUGGGAGAUCUAUCAAAAAAUACUCAUGUGAGUUACACAGUGUUUGCAAAGGACCACAUCAAGUUUUCCCAGAGAAGCAAUGUACUUUCCUCAUAACCAGUCAGUAGUAGAGCACCUGCUCUUCUUGGAAGAAAUUUCAGCACAUGGCUGUUGCAAAUAGUAUUUUGUCAGACUGGGCACAAGUCUACAGAUUCUGAUUUGGCAAUACUCACCGAGGUCUCCACCUGGAGAAGCCAGGUGAAGACUCUACUCCUUGGAGUUGCCUGUAUAAAAACACUGGCAAAAAGAAAGGCUCCUUAACAUCCUGCUGUGAAAUAAAAGACCAUUGGAAGCCCUUCUGAGGCCAGAAUAAACCAUAAGAGUCCUAAAGAAAAUAGGAAUGAGGAAAACAGCUUAGAUAUAGACCACUGAGGAGCAUCACCAGCCCAACUCUGCCAGUGUUUGGUGUUGAUUGAAGAUCCUAGCUCCAGUUCUUUGGUGAUUUGGGGUGACAGGGUGCCACUUUUUUCAGACCUAGCCUUUACUCGUAUGUCUACAGAGAAUCUGAGAAGAUUAAGAAAGUAGCCAGAAUAAUCCUCCUUGUAUUUUGGGUUUCAGUCCUUCUCUCACAGAACCCCCUAUAGGAUUUGUUUUCCAAUGGCUCGGUACUGGAAAGGAGUAAGUAUCUUUACAUGGUCUCAAGCUGGGAGCAUUCAUCCUCUUGGCAUGAUUAAACCUCAGUUGCCUGAAAACCCACUUCAUAAACGGUAGUGUGCAACAAAAUGGACCAAAUCAGUGGCCAUCUGUUCACCUCUUGGAUGUCUGCAGCCCAGCUGCUGUUUCAUGGAUGUGGUCAUUCUCAAAGUACUUCUAAUAGCUUCAGUCCCGAGCUUGUGUUUGAGUAAGAACAAACCUAACUUGAAAACGUGGUGGUGUGGUUAGGGACAUUUAAACAGUUUUGGAAGCACCUCAUUUGCACUAAACUAUCUCUUUAGGGAAACUGAACUGUAUUCCAGAAAUGCUAUCAGAAAAAUUAGGCAUAGGAGGUGGUAGGAUGAAAAGACCAACAAUGGAGAAGUCCUAAUGAAAUAGAAAUUUGAAUGAACGUGGAAUUCUCCAACAGGCCUGAGCUACCUGAGUUGAUAACACACGGCCAGAAAUGCUGCAAAAGCCAUGCUGUGACCACACAGCCAACCUCUCAUGCUCAUGUGCACACUGCAUGCCUGUAUUCUCUAAAUUGCAGAGGAGAAGACUGUCUCUUCAGGGUUCUAAGACAACAUACAGGGAGGUGAAGGUAGGAAGGCCAGGGCAUGGAUGCCCAGCAAAUGAAGGCAUGGCUCACUGUUCUGCAAGGAGAGCAAAGCCCCACACAAGCAGUGUUUUUGCAGCGUGGUAACUCAGGGUGCAAGCAACACUUUUCCACUUAAACAGCAUUCCCCUGCAAAGAAGCAGCAGCCAGACAGUGACACCUCCAUCCUUCCAACAAGCAGUGAAUUGCAGAAAUGAGAUUUUAUCCUUAGCAAAUACACCAGCCUGGAGUCUCCAUUGGACAGGAGGUCUUGUGCUGUGAAUUCAUGUAUGUAGUCUAGAUUUCGAUAAUACAGUGAUGCAGGAAAAUAAAACGCUCAUUAGCAUCAUCCUUAACUUGUGAACGUGGAAAAGUGUUGCCUGCUUCCCUGGGGACGGAGGCUGCGAGAGACCGAGCACCUGCAAAGCAAUUGUUGCUGUAGGAUUGCGUGCACAGCCUUCGCUUUCCCGGCCCCGCUAUCCAGGGAGGGCAGAUUUAGGCUCUGCCCCUGCCCCUGCCCCUGCUCCCCCCUCCGCCCCCGGUGCCUCGGUCCCC